rnacentral:rRNA from 1 species
UACGUAGGGCGCAAGCGUUAUCCGGAAUUAUUGGGCGUAAAGAGCUCGUAGGCGGUUUGUCGCGUCUGCCGUGAAAGUCCGGGGCUCAACCUCGGGCCUGCAGUGGGUACGGGCAGACUAGAGUGCGGUAGGGGAGAUUGGAAUUCCUGGUGUAGCGGUGGAAUGCGCAGAUAUCAGGAGGAACACCAAUGGCGAAGGCAGAUCUCUGGGCCGUAACUGACGCUGAGGAGCGAAAGCAUGGGGAGCGAACAGG